GUGCGAACCCCGACGCACCGGAAGCCUCCGCCUGUAUAAUUUCCGGUAAGGUCGUGUCUGAUGGCGUCGUGUCUGCCAGGUCAACGCUUUCCGGUUGCUGGAGUAAAAAUCAGGAACACAAACGGCAAGAAGAGAUGAAAGAUGAGGAUGUUCUUUCUUACCACAUUUUUCUAGCAAUUGGGUCUUCAAUGGCGGAUUCAGAGACGUUCUCCAUUUGUGUAUCAGAAGAGAUGAAAGAUGAGGAUGUUCUUUCUUACCACAUUUUUCUAGCAAUUGGUCUUCAAGCGCGGAUUCA